UAGUAAUGGGGUAGGGGUGGGAUUAUAUAUCCUGAAUUGGGAAAUAAAGUAAAAUGACUAUUUUACCCUGACUACAUACGCAAAAAUGUAAGCAAAAUCAUAUCAUUUCUACCCAGCAAAGACUCAGCAGCUUUGCUGAGAGAAGAUCUCCACCUUCGUGAAGAUCUCCAUCUCGGUGUGCCGAUUUCAACCUUCGUUCGCCGGAAAAUUCACCGUCGGCACUGAAAAACUCUCAUUACCGUUGAAGCAUUUGUAGAUGAACAAUAAUGAAUGCUCGGACAGUACGAUGGACCUAUUUGAAGCAUUUGUAGCACUCCAAGAAGUUGUGUCAUCUAUUAACUAUGUAUGUGGUGUGUACAUUAUUGUACUACAAGUUGCCUUGGAGAGGUACCAAUCUAGGUUGGAUAUUAAAAGGUCACCACAUCCCUUCCAAGCAUAAUUAGACUAUUUGAAUAGAUUGGUGAAGGAUAGUGAUAUUGAUUGUCAUGAACAACUCCGAGUGAAUAGGCAUACCUUCAUGUGUCUUUGUACACUUGUUCGAAGUGUGGGAUUAUCUGAUUCCAAAUAUGUCCUCUUAGAGGAGAAAGUUGCAAUGUUCUUAAAUGUGAUUGCACACGACUAUAAGAAUCGCAACAUCAAGUUCAAUUUCAUGCGGUCUAGGCAAACAAUUAGUCAGUACUUUAACGAUGUCCUGAAGGCUAUUUUACGCCUACAAGGUGUCUUACUUAAGACACCAGAGCCAAUAACUGCAAAUUGCACAGAUGAUAGAUGGAGGUGUUUUCAGAAUUGUCUUGGAGCUCUAGAUGGAACUUAU